rnacentral:rRNA from 1 species
AUUGAACGCUGGCGGCAGGCCUAACACAUGCAAGUCGAGCGGAUGAAGGGAGCUUGCUCCUGGAUUCAGCGGCGGACGGGUGAGUAAUGCCUAGGAAUCUGCCUGGUAGUGGGGGAUAACGUCCGGAAACGGGCGCUAAUACCGCAUACGUCCUGAGGGAGAAAGUGGGGGAUCUUCGGACCUCACGCUAUCAGAUGAGCCUAGGUCGGAUUAGCUAGUUGGUGGGGUAAAGGCCUACCAAGGCGACGAUCCGUAACUGGUCUGAGAGGAUGAUCAGUCACACUGGAACUGAGACACGGUCCAGACUCCUACGGGAGGCAGCAGUGGGGAAUAUUGGACCAUGGGCGAAAGCCUGAUCCAGCCAUGCCGCGUGUGUGAAGAAGGUCCUCGGAUUGUAAAGCACUUUAAGUUGGGAGGAAGGGCAGUAAGUUAAUACCUUGCUGUUUUGACGUUACCAACAGAAUAAGCACCGGCUAACUUCGUG